AUACGUAGGGGGCGAGCGUUGUCCGGAAUGAUUGGGCGUAAAGGGCGCGUAGGCGGCGCGGUAAGUCUGGAGUGAAAGUCCUGCUUUCAAGGUGGGAAUUGCUUUGGAUACUGCCGCGCUUGAGUGCAGGAGAGGUUAUCGGAAUUCCCGGUGUGGCGGUGGAAUGCGUAGAGAUCGGGAGGAACACCAGUGGCGAAGGCGGGUAACUGGACUGCAACUGACGCUGAGGCGCGAAAGUGUGGGGAGCAAACAGGAUUAGAUACCCUGGUAGUCCACACUGUAAACGAUGAAUGCUAGGUGUAAGAGGUAUCGACCCCUUUUGUGCCGGAGUCAACACAAUAAGCAUUCCGCCUGGGGAGUACGGCCGCAAGGUUGAAACUCAAAGGAAUUGACGGGG
rnacentral:rRNA from 1 species